AGGGAGGUAGUGACAAUAAAUAACAGUGCCGGGCCUUUCUAGGUCUGGCAAUUGGAAUGAGAAAUAUUUAAAUCCCUUAUCGAGGAUCAACUGAAGGGCAAGUCUGGUGCCAGCAGCCGCGGUAAUUCCAGCUUCAGUAGCGUAUAUUAAAGUUGUUGCAGUUAAAAAGCUCGUAGUCGCAUUUCUGGAGAGAGGAACUGGUCCGACCUUACGGUGGGUUCUUGGUUCUCUCUCUCCGUCCUCGAGUGGCCCGUUCUGGUAUUAGGUUAUCGGAGCGUCCGCCGCUCAUCGUUUACUGUGAGAAAAUUAGAGUGUUCAAAGCAGGCUUAUGCCGUUGAAUAUAUUAGCAUGGAAUAAUGAGAUAGGACCUCGGUACUAUUUUGUUGGUUUGCGCACCAAGGUAAUGAUGAACAGGGACAGUUGGGGGUAUUUGUAUUUCGUUGUCAGAGGUGAAAUUCUUAGAUUUACGAAAGACAAACUACUGCGAAAGCAUUUACCAAGGAUGUUUUCAUUGAUCAAGAACGAAAGUAUGGGGAUCGAAGAUGAUUAGAUACCAUCGUAGUCUAUACCAUAAACUAUGCCGACUCAGGAUGGGCGGGUGUUGUAUGACCUCGUCUGCACUGUAUGAGAAAUCAAAGUCUUUGGGUUCCGGGGGGAGUAUGGUCGCAAGGCUGAAAUCCAUAUGACUAG
rnacentral:rRNA from 1 species